rnacentral:rRNA from 1 species
UACGUAGGGGGCAAGCGUUGUCCGGAUUUAUUGGGCGUAAAGAGCGUGUAGGCGGCCAGGUAGGUCGGUUGUGAAAACUGGAGGCUUAACCUCCAGACGUCGACCGAAACCAUCUGGCUAGAGUCCGGAAGAGGAGAGUGGAAUUCCUGGUGUAGCGGUGAAAUGCGCAGAUAUCAGGAAGAACACCCGUGGCUAAGGCGGCUGCCUGGCCCAAUACUGACACUCAGGUGCGACAGCGUGGGGAGCAAACAGG